rnacentral:tRNA from 1 species
UGGCUCAGUUGGUAGAGCAUGGUGUUUGCAGUGGUGUUUGCAACGCCAGGGUUGUGGGUUCGAUUCCCAC